rnacentral:rRNA from 1 species
AGAUUGAACGCUAGCGGGAUGCUUUACACAUGCAAGUCGAACGGCAGCGCGGACUUCGGUCUGGCGGCGAGUGGCGAACGGGUGAGUAAUAUAUCGGAACGUGCCCAGUAGCGGGGGAUAACUACGCGAAAGCGUGGCUAAUACCGCAUACGCCCUACGGGGGAAAGGGGGGAUCGCAAGACCUCUCACUAUUGGAGCGGCCGAUAUCGGAUUAGCUAGUUGGUGGGGUAAAGGCUCACCAAGGCUUCGAUCCGUAGCUGGUUUGAGAGGACGACCAGCCACACUGGGACUGAGACACGGCCCAGACUCCUACGGGAGGCAGCAGUGGGAAUUUGGACAAUGGGGGAAACCCUGAUCAGCCAUCCCGCGUGUGCGAUGAAGGCCUUCGGGUUGUAAAGCACUUUUGGCAGGAAGAAACGGACGCCGGAUAAUACCUGGCGUCACUGACGGUACCUGCAGAAUAAGCACGGCUAACUACGUGACCAGCAGCCGC